UCGGGAAGCUGAAGCAGGAGAAUGGCGUGAACCUGGGAGGCAGAGCUUGCAGUGAGCCGAGANNNNNNNNNNNNNNNNCCAGCCUGGGCGACAGAGCGAGACUCUGUCUCAGGAAAAAAAAAAAAGAACCCAAAUGGAAUUGAGUAAGAUCUGUCCAGAUGGUACAGAAAGGGAGGAGUUGAUUGGGGGAGAGAAGUAGAAUUACUUAGCCUUAAUUUAGGGAGCAUUUAAUGAGCACCUACUAGGGAUCAGGCAGCAUGCUGUGCUCUGAAGAUUUUAAGAUAAAGAAACUCCCACUUUUAAAGAAGUUCAUAGUUUAGCAGAGCAGACAGACACAAUUUAUAUACUGUGAUAAUGUGAUACAUACUAUUAUAGAAAUACAGUCUUUUUUUUUUUUUUUUGAGACGGAUCUUUAGUAGAGACGGGGUUUCACCAUAUUGGCCAGUCUGGUCUCGAACUCCUAACCUCCAGUGAUCCAUCUGCCUUGGCCUCUCAAAGUGCUGGGAUUACAGGUGUGCGCCACCACACCUGGCCAGAAAUACAGUCUUAAUACUGUGGGACCCUACGGGCCUCUAGAGAAUGAUUAAUUCUGUGGGGGAGAGGGUGAUUAUGUAAUUUCACUGAAGUAACAUUUGAGCUUGGUCUUGUGAGAUAUAUAGAAUUUUGCUAGGCAGACAAGUAGGGACAGGCAUUCCAAUCUUACCUAGGUCAAUAAUAGGGAGUUUGUACUACCAUACUGAUAAGAGGUAAGUAUGCUUUUUGCCUCUUGGAGAAAUAUAAGGGAAAGGGUGCGAGAUGUGGAAGGAAUCUCAUUUAAUCCAGUGACUCAUUGGGUAACACUGGAUCAACAAAAUGAAGAGCUGAGCCAAGUGGUAGAACUCUCAUUUCAAGAUUUUGGUGACUUGGGUUUAAACAGAGUUGGAGAGGGAGAUGAAGGUAUUUACUGGUUUCUGCUCUAUCUUCCCUACUUAGUAAAACUCUCUCAACUGUCCUGGCAGGGGUUGGUCAUAGACCUUCUAGAAAAGAGUAGUGAUGAAUUAAUUCUUCUGUCAGAAAGAUAUGGGACUGCAUCCCAGUUGCCAAGGAAGUUAUCUAUUUAUUUAUUUUUUGUGCAAAUGGUGGCCUUUAAUACCAAGAACUUGCCUUCUUUCACUUCCUCAAUUCAUUCCUCUCCCUUCUCCCUUCCUCUCUCUUCCUUCUUUUCCUUCCUGCUUUUCCCUUUUCUCCUUUUUCUCCUCAUUCUCUUUACCAUCUACCUAUGUGUCCCUCCAAGCCCCUCUGCUAUUUCUCCCCUGCUCACUCCCUCUGCUGUUGUCUCCCUCAGGUUCAGCUUCCGGGGUGGGGAGGCAAGAAAGGGUCCUCAGCUCAGGGAGCACUUGUUUGUGUUCUUUAUGUCACAAGUUUUCAGGUCAGUACUGGGAGGCUUGUUGCCGUUUCCUGAUCUCCGGCCUCCUGACUUGAGCAAGAUGUCCCGGGCCAGGGAACUAAAAGCCUCAUCCACAUUCAUACUGGAUUUAGCACUAGUUUCGAAAAAUCAGAUUCCAUGCUCUCGAGCCAACUUAUCAGCCUGCCCCUUCUGCACCUUCCUCUUGGCCUCCAUGUCACAUUUGUUCCCUAGCAAGAGGCGCUCCACCCCAGCUGAGGCAUUCUCCAUGAUGCUUUUCAUCCAGUUCUGAAUAUUCUCGAAAGAUUUCUCAUCCGUGAUGUCGUAUGCUAGGAUAAUGCCCAUGGCUCCACGGUAGUAGGCAGUAGUUAUUGUCUUGAACUGCUCUUGGCCAGCCGUGUCCCAGACUUGUAGUUUGAUCUUCUUCCCCUCUAUAUCCACAGUGCGGAUCUUGAAAUCAAUUCCGAUGGUGGAGAUGUAAGUGUUGUUGAAGUUGUCCUCUGCAAAGCGAAUGAUCAGACAAGUCUUGCCCACCCCCGAGUCCCCGAUCAGCAGCAACUUGAAGAGGUGGUCAUAGGCUUUGGCCAUGGC
rnacentral:lncRNA from 1 species